rnacentral:rRNA from 1 species
CUGCUGCCUUCCGUAGGAGUCUGGGCCGUAUCUCAGUCCCAAUGUGGCCGAUCAACCUCUCAGUCCGGCUACCGAUCGUCGCCUUGGUGGGCCGUUGCCCCACCAACUAGCUAAUCGGCCGCGAGCCCAUCUUCCAGCGGAUUGCUCCUUUGGCUGCAUCGGGAUGCCCCAUCGCAGCGUUAUGCGGUAUUAGCAGUCGUUUCCAACUGUUAUCCCCCUNUGAAAGGCAGGUUGCUCA